GGAACUGAGGGUGAUCUGGUUGCCACAUCUGUCACCCCAUUGAUCACCAGGAUAGAUUUGGCUAAUCUAGAUGGCUAGGCUGGUAUCCCUUUCCUCUAUCACCACUCCACAUGAGAGCCCCCUGAAGCUGCAGAUAGCUUGAAGUGGAGGACCUUCUUGGAACAGAAGAAGACAAGUCUUUAACCAAGGGUAUGCAUGUAGCUGCAUUUCCCUGCUAGAACCUCCAAACAAGCUCUCAAGAAUAUGUCUCAAAAAGACACAAAGAGAUUGCGGAUGGAUCUCCUUGUUAGACUGUUUGUCUGAUAUG
ensembl:misc_RNA 7SK 7SK RNA